ACUACCUGUAGAAGCAUUACAAGUGUGGUUGCUGUGUCGCAUGUGCGUCAGCAGGUGGCAGAGUGGAGCAGAACUACGUCUAUGCUCAGUGUUCUGACCUAUGAACAGCCGAAUGAUUAGUAGACUGACGAC